UACGGAGGGUGCAAGCGUUAUCCGGAUUCACUGGGUUUAAAGGGUGUGUAGGCGGACAGUUAAGUUCAGCGGUGAAAUCUCCGGGCUCAACCCGGAAACUGCCAUUGAUACUAUCUGUCUUGAAUAUUGUUGAGGUGGGCGGAAUAUGUCGUGUAGCGGUGAAAUGCUUAGAUAUGACAUAGAACACCGAUUGCGAAGGCAGCUCACUAAACAAUGAUUGACGCUGAGGCACGAAAGCGUGGGGAUCAAACAGG
rnacentral:rRNA from 1 species